rnacentral:rRNA from 1 species
CCUACGGGAGGCAGCAGUGAGGAAUAUUGGUCAAUGGACGAGAGUCUGAACCAGCCAAGUAGCGUGAAGGAUGACUGCCCUAUGGUUUGUAAACUUCUUUUAUAUGGGAAUAAAAUGUUCCACGUGUGGGAUUUUGUAUGUACCAUAUGAAUAAGGAUCGGCUAACUCCGUGCCAGCAGCCGCGGUAAUACGGAGGAUCCGAGCGUUAUCCGGAUUUAUUUGGUUGAAAGGAAGCGUAUGUGGAUUGUUAAGUCAGUUGUGAAAGUCUGCGGCUUAACCGUAAAAUUGCAGUUGAUACUGGCAGUCUUGAGUACAGUAGAGGUGGGCGGAAUUCGAGGUGAAGCGGUGAAAUGCUUAGAUAUCACGAAGAACUCCGAUUGCGAAGGCAGCUCACUGGACUGAAACUGACACUGAGGCUCGAAAGUGUGGGGAUCAAACAGGAUUAGAUACCCCUGUAGUC